rnacentral:rRNA from 1 species
GCUAGUAAUGGCAGGUCAGCAUACUGCCGUGAAUACGUUCCCGGGCCUUGUACACACCGCCCGUCACACCAUGAGAGUUGGGAAUACCCGAAGCCUGUGAGCUAACGAAAGAGGCAGCAGUCGAAGGUAGAAUCAAUGAUUGGGGUGAAGUCGUAACAAGGUAAC